CUACCUCUUUAUGAGUGUGUAACUCGUGUGAAGCUCUACGAUGAUGAUGAUGAUGAGGCGGUGGAGCAUCAAGAUAGUGGACGUGAUAAUGAUUCACAUGGCGAGGUGGAUGUGGAUUAUCACGAAAUUCCACACGUGAUGGCCUGCGUUGUUGAUGCUCUAAGACAAACUGUGCAGAAGUUGAAGUAAAAAUAUUUGCCAUUUUUAUUAGGCAAUAUGACAAUCAUUUAUGGUGGUUUUGUUUUUAUUAAGUGCUUGAAAUCUGUGUAAAUCCAAUAUAUAGAAUGUUCCUAAGGCAAAGAGAAUGUUUUAAUACUGGUUGAUUACAUUGGUCUCUGUGGAUCCAUCCCAUAAUAAGUUACAUCAUUGCUAAUAGCUGUAUUUACUCUAAUUCACUUAUACUCCCCAUCAACAGUUAGUUUCCAAUGGAG
rnacentral:lncRNA from 1 species